rnacentral:rRNA from 1 species
UACGUAGGUGGCAAGCGUUGUCCGGAUUUAUUGGGCUUAAAGGGUGCGUAGGCGGCUCUAUAAGUCAGUGCUGAAAUAUCCCGGCUUAACCGGGAGGGUGGCAUUGAUACUGUAGGGCUUGAGUAAAGUUGAGGUUGGCGGAAUUGACGGUGUAGCGGUGAAAUGCUUAGAUAUCGUCAAGAACACCUAUUGCGAAGGCAGCUAACUAAGCUUUAACUGACGCUGAGGCACGAAAGUGUGGGGAUCAAACAGG